rnacentral:rRNA from 1 species
UACGUAGGGGGCAAGCGUUGUCCGGAAUCAUUGGGCGUAAAGCGCGCGUAGGCGGCCCGGUAAGUCCGCUGUAAAAGUCCAGGGCUCAACCCUGGAAAGCCGGUGGAUACUGUCGGGCUAGAGUCCGGAAGAGGCGAGUGGAAUUCCUGGUGUAGCGGUGGAAUGCGUAGAUAUUGGGAGGAACACCAGUGGCGAAGGCGGCUCACUGGACCGGUACUGACGCUGAUGCGCGAAAGCGUGGGGAGCAAACGGG